UCGCUGAAUGCCUUCUUCAUUUCGAAUUUUUUCUUUUCGCUUUCUCGCCCCCUCGUCUCUUCCCCUUCCUAUUUUUCCAGCGGCGGAUACCUCGGUGAGUUGGAGAUCUGGAGUCAUGGCGAUUUUGAUUGGGAGUUCUCCUUCGAUGCUCGCUUGAGGGCUUGGUGGUUGGUGGUCAGGUGUCCAGCGCUCUCCCAUCAGUUGCGCCGCCGCAUCUCCCGGCCGAGGUUUCUUACCUUGACCGUGUGCACUCUGGGUUGAAUUCUCUUCCUGACAGCAAGCCUAGAAUUCUGGUAUGGAGAGGUAACAAAGUUAAGGAUUUCUCGGAAUUACAUAAGAGCAACAGUCGUUCGUAUGGCAAGAGGCCGUUGAAGCGUUUAUCACCAUCAGUUUACGCACAGAAGUCUUGUGAAAAGUUUUCAUGUUCAGUAACCUAUAGUAUCCCCUUUGCCAAUAAGAUUUCAACAUCAGAAGUUCAUGCUCCAGCUGUUGAUAAUGUCUCUUUUGCCUGUAAAGCUGAAACGGCUUAUGCUUCACGGUUUGGAAAUGAUGUUGUGCAACAAAUAGUUGGACUUGUUCAGUCUUCAAAUGCCGCUAAGCCUCAGACUUUUCAAGAUUGGUCGGAGUCCCUUGUUUCAAGAUUUAUACUGGAUUUACAGUGUCCAGUGUAAUUCUAAGUGGAUUUACACUGUAAUUCCUACUGGAUUUACACUGUAAUUCUAUGUGAAUUUACAGUGUAAUUCUUACUGGAUUUACACUGUAAUUCCUACUGGAUUUGUAGUGUCUUAGUGGAUUUGAACUAAAAUGCUUGGUGUAAUAUUUAGUGAAUUUUACAAUGUUUUACGGUGGAUUCAUAUUGGAUUUACAGUGUUUUUCUUAGUGGAUUUACAGCGGUACUUAUAGUGUAAAUCUUAUUAGGAAUAUGCAACUUGUAUUCUCAUGAGGCCAUAGGUCGAUAUAUAUGCAUGUACAGGUGUGGAACAUA